CCGUCAAUUCAUUUAAGUUUUAGUCUUGCGACCGUAGUCCCCAGGCGGGGUGCUUAACGCGUUAGCUGCGUCACCAAACAGCAUGCUGCCUGACAACUAGCACCCAUCGUUUACGGCGUGGACUACCAGGGUAUCUAAUCCUGUUUGCUCCCCACGCUUUCGCGCCUCAGCGUCAGUUGCGAGCCAGUGAGCCGCCUUCGCCACUGGUGUUCUUCCUAAUAUCUACGAAUUUCACCUCUACACUAGGAAUUCCACUCACCUCUCUCGAACUCUAGACUGGCAGUAUUGAGGGCAGUUCCGGGGUUAAGCCCCGGGAUUUCACCCCCAACUGGCCAGCCCGCCUACGCGCGCUUUACGCCCAGUAAUUCCGAACAACGCUAGCCCCCUCCGUAUUACCGCG
rnacentral:misc_RNA from 1 species